rnacentral:rRNA from 1 species
GAGUUUGAUCAUGGCUCAGAGUGAACGCUGGCGGCAGGCCUAACACAUGCAAGUCGAGCGGCAGCGCGGGGGCAACCCUGGCGGCGAGCGGCGGACGGGUGAGGAAUGCAUCGGAAUCUACCUCGUUGUGGGGGAUAACCUCGGGAAACCGGGACUAAUACCGCAUACGACCUACGGGUGAAAGUGGGGGACCGCAAGGCCUCACGCGAUGAGAUGAGCCGAUGCCGGAUUAGCUAGUUGGCGGGGUAAAGGCCCACCAAGGCGACGAUCCGUAGCUGGUCUGAGAGGAUGAUCAGCCACACUGGAACUGAGACACGGUCCAGACUCCUACGGGAGGCAGCAGUGGGGAAUAUUGGACGAUGGGCGCAAGCCUGAUCCAGCCAUGCCGCGUGUGUGAAGAAGGCC